rnacentral:snRNA from 1 species
UGUUGGAUUGUUCACCCACC